rnacentral:rRNA from 1 species
GAGCGCAACCCUCGACCUUAGUUGCCAGCAUUCAGUUGGGCACUCUAAGGUGACUGCCGGCUAAAAGUCGGAGGAAGGUGGGGAUGACGUCAAACCAUCAUGCCCCUUAUGACCUGGGCUACACACGUGCUACAAUGGGCGGUACAAAGGGUCGCGAACCCGCGAGGGGGAGCCAAUCCCAAAAAGCCGCUCUCAGUUCGGAUUGCAGGCUGCAACUCGCCUGCAUGAAGCCGGAAUCGCUAGUAAUCGCGGAUCAGCAUGCCGCGGUCGAAUACGUUCCCGGGCCUU